rnacentral:lncRNA from 1 species
CAGAGAAAAACAAAUAUAUUGUUGUUUCAAAUAGUUUCAAAUAGCAGAAAGGCAGUCACUGGUUUAGGACAUCACUUAGUAAUGUUUUAGAGAGCCACUCAUUUUGGCAUGGUUCUGCUAGUAAAACUUAAUGUGAUUUAUGCUUUAAUUAACUCAAGAUAAAUUUUUAGAAAAAUUUAGUUCAAUCUGUGAGAGAGUAAACAUUUUCAAAUCUUACAGUUAAGACUUCAAUAGUAUGAGAGCAAGUUUAGAAAACAUUUUUAUUAGACAAAUUAUUUAGACAAAUUAUACACAGAAAGCUCUGUCACUCAUAACUGAGGCCUCCAAAAAUGUUUUGUGUGUUUGUAUAAUAGGCGAUACAUCAAAAUAAGCCUAUUUUAAAUAUUGUACAUGGUUAACAGUUUGUUGAUAGCUAAAAUCACUGCAACAUCUGGUAUGUCCCUAUAUAGCUUGUUGUAAAGAUUUUUUUGUUUUAAAAUCAGAGUUGUAAAUGAGAUCAUGAAUGUUACAAGGGAAAACAAGUUGUGCAUGCACUUAGGUACUUGUUACCCUGGAAACAAAAUGGUUUUUGCAUGAUGAGAAAUUUUUCUGCCUUACACAGUAGACAAUAUUUGAAGAUUUAGUACAAAACAGUGACAAUACAAGAUGCUCCCCAGAACAGAAUUAGCAUCAAAAUAUAAUAUAUCUUAAGAAUAUACCUUUUAAUUUCUCCUAAAGCAAAUCACAGAGGUUGAUUCCUAUAUCAAUCCUAGCCACAGAAUGAAUUAGAUUAAAGUAAGUGUAUGGCUGCGUAAAAACACAGAAUAAGUUCUUGUUUCCUACUUACCACAUUUUAAUUUAAGGAUUACAAACAAAGUUCAUCCUACAUUUCUAACAAGUAAGAAAGCUACUUUAAAAGGGUUGUGCACAAAGAGGCACUGUUUUUGCUGUCAUCCUUCUAUAUACUUGGCACUAAUGUAAAAAAUACAUAACUCCUCCAAAUAGAACUAAAUAAAAAAGGGGGUUGAGUUGAGAGCCCAUUAUGGUUAUUAUGUUUUCUUCUUUAGGAUAAUAAAUGACAGUAAUUUAAGGCCACAUCAAUAGUUCUUAAGGGCUCCCACCCCUCCCCAAAUAUCAUAAUUGUAUUGAUUGACUUGCUGCUUUGGAAGAGGAUUAGUAACCUUCAAUGAUCUAUGUUUCAACUCUCCUAGAGCUCUAUGUGCUGUUGUGGAUGUGGUUCAGCUAAUAGCAUUUUUCAUUUAGAUAAUUAAUUAAAAGUAAAAGUAUCAAGGUUAGCUUUAUACACUGCUGAAUAACAAAUGCGAAACCUAUUCAAAUGAGUUACAUCUAGGAACAAAUAUUAAAUUGCCCUGGAUGCUUUAAUAACAAAAGUAUAAAAUAUUUUCCGUUGGCAAACAAUGCGAGUCAGAAUAACAUUAAAGCAACCUGCCUUUUCUAACUGAAAAGAACCCCUGCACUAUACAUAGUUCCUGUAUACAAUACUUUUGUUUAAACUAAAGCUUUAUUAAAUGAAUUGCAAUAGCAAUGGCCGCCUUUUUAUAUAUAUAUACACAUUAUAUAGGUGCAUAUAUAUGUAUAUAUAUGAAAUACUAAUUUAUUUAACACAAUAGAGGCUUCUGCCAUAUGAUAAAGUUUACUGUACAU